GAAAUCAGUUCAGCACUAAGUCACUUUGUCUAUAUGGCAAAUGUGAGAUGCAGUGUAUGGAACAUCAAUAUUCUAGUAUGAGAAAUUAACGAUUUAAGUCCUUCUUAAAUGAGGCCAUUUACCCAUAGAGGGUGCCAGGCCCGUAUAACGUUAAUGAUUAUUAGAUGGUGUUUCCAAAGAGUCGUGUUGCUUGAUAGUGCAGCACUAAGUGGGUGGUAAACUCCAUCUAAAACUAAAUAUAACCAUGAGACCGAUAGUAAACAAGUACCGUGAGGGAAAGUUGAAAAGAACUCUGAAUAGAGAGUUAAAUAGUACGUGAAACUGCUUAGAGGUUAAGCCCGAUGAACCUGAAUAUCCGUUAUGGAAAAUUCAUCAUUAGACUUGUAAUAUUUAAACAAUAUUAUGAUAAUAGUGUGCAUUUUUUCCAUAUAAGGACAUUGUAAUCUAUUAGUUAAAAAUAAUUUAUCAAAAAAUUUUAGAUAAAAGUUUAUUUAAAUUAAAGUGCUUGCAUUUUAACAUAAAAUAAAUGUCUUUAAUUUGAUAAAGUUCUGAUAGAUUUAUAUGAAUACAGUGCGUUAAUUUUUCGGAAUUAUAUAAUGGCAUGAUUAUCAUUGAUUUUUGUGUUUAUUAUAUGCACUUGUAUGAUUAACAAUGCGAAAGA
rnacentral:rRNA from 1 species